rnacentral:rRNA from 1 species
AUCGGCUAACUCCGUGCCAGCAGCCGCGGUAAUACGGAGGAUCCGAGCGUUAUCCGGAUUUACUGGGUUUAAAGGGUGCGUAGGCGGGUUGAUAAGUCAGUGGUGAAAUCCUUCAGCUUAACUGGAGACUUGCCAUUGAUACUGUUAGUCUUGAGUACGGUCAAGGUAGGCGGAAUGUGUAAUGUAGCGGUGAAAUGCUUAGAUAUUACACAGAACACCGAUUGCGAAGGCAGCUUACUGGGCCAUUACUGACGCUGAUGCACGAAAGCGUGGGGAGCGAACAGGAUUAGAUACCCUGGUAGUCCACGCCGUAAACGAUGAUCACUCGCUGUUAGCGAUACACAGUUAGCGGCUAAGCAAAAGCAUUAAGUGAUCCACCUGGGGAGUACGGUCGCAAGACUG